AGGGUUCGAUUCUGGCUCAGAACGAACGCUGGCGGCGCGUUUAAGCAUGCAAGUCGCAGGGUAAAAUUUAGCAAUAGAAUUGAGACUGGCGAACGGGUGAGUAACACGUGAAAAUCUACCUUGAGAUGGGGGAUAGCCGGUAGAAAUAUCGGGUAAUACCGCAUAUGCCGAGAGGUGAAAGGGGCAACUGCUCCGUCUUGAGAUGAGUUUGCGUCUGAUUAGAUAGUUGGCGAGGUAAAGGCUCACCAAGUCUACGAUCAGUAGCCGGCCUGAGGGGGUGAUCGGCCACAUUGGGACUGAGACACGGCCCAGACUCCUACGGGAGGCAGCAGCUAAGAAUAUUCCGCAAUGGGAGAAAUCCUGACGGAGCGACGCCGCGUGAACGAUUGAAGGCAGAAAUGUUGUAAAGUUCUUUUAUUAGGGAAGAAUAAGGUUAGGAGUGGAAAGCUUAAUCGAUGACGGUACCUAAUGAAUAAGCCACGGCUAACUACGUGCCAGCAGCAGC
rnacentral:rRNA from 1 species